CCUACGGGUGGCAGCAGUGAGGAAUAUUGGUCAAUGGACGGAAGACUGAACCAGCCAUGCCGCGUGCAGGAAGACGGCUCUGGGAGUUGUAAACUUCUUUUGUAGUGGAGUAAACCUGAGGACGUGUAUUCAGCUGACAGUACUGUACGAAUAAGGAUCGGCUAACUCCGUGCCAGCAGCCGCGGUAAUACGGAGGAUGCAAGCGUUAUCCGGAUUUAUUGGGUUUAGAGGGUGCGUAGGCGGAUAGAUAAGUUAGAGGUGAAAUGUCCGGGCUCAACUCGGGGACUGCCUUUAAUACUGGUGGUCUCGAGUGUAGUAGCGGUAGGCGGAAUGUAUGGUGUAGCGGUGAAAUGCGUAGAGAUCCUGCAGAACACCGAUUGCGAAGGCAGCCUACCGGUCUAUAACUGACGCUGAGGCACGAAAGCGUGGGGAGCAAACAGGACUAGAUACCCUAGUAGUC
rnacentral:rRNA from 1 species